UUCCUGGCUUCCCUCCUUAUUUCGUCCAUCCUCAUCCACUCCUCCUCGGCAGCCGCCCUCAGCCUCUCUUCCGCGGGCACCUCUACUUUCUCCAAAACCCCAUCCUCAUCAUCCCUAUAGCCAUAAUAACUGGCAUCAAUUCUUUUAUAAAUAUCAUAUCUAGUCCUUCUUUUCCUCAAUUCCGGUGGCUUCUCGAAUAGCUCACGAACUCCCGGUAACUUCUUCGCCGCACCAAAGUACCGGUACCCAGGGCCACGCCCGCUAGGGUUAGGGACGUCAACUAUGUUACCUUCUAAAUCCGUCAUUUUAGGGGCGUGUUUGGCGUAGUUAGGGCCGCCGAGCUCCACGAUGCGGCGUUCCCAAUGAGAUUUUUCUCGAAUUAGCUUGUUAAUCUCAUCGUUUAAGUCACGGAGACGGUGCUCGCCAAGGCCUUCGUUCUGGAUUUCGGCGACUUUGCGACCGAUCUCUCGCAUAAUCUGCUGGCGCCAUUUAUCGGCCUCGGCGAGGUCCCGGCACUCAGAGGCGAGGUAGGGGCGGCGCUCUUUGGGUUUCUUCUUUUCCUGUUCUUUUAGGGCUAUGAAUCGAUUUAGCAUCGAUUGAGCCUUCUCUUCGUUGCGAGCCAUGUCUGCCUUUGCUAGGGGUUCAGAUUAGAGAAUAGGAAAUCCUAAUCGGAAUCGAAAGAAAUGAGAGACGAGUAGCAGCAAACAGCAAGUAUGAGUAGCGUCUCUUGGCACCGGGCUUGCCGCAGGGAAGGGAUAUAUAUC
rnacentral:misc_RNA from 1 species